rnacentral:snRNA from 1 species
GUUCUUGCUUUGGCAGCACAUAUACUGAAACCAUCCAGAGAAGAUUAGCAUGGCCCCUGCGCAAGUACGGCACACAGAUACGCAAAUUAUCAAAUUCAG